UUACGGCCAUAUCACGUUGAAAUACCGGUCCUCGUACAAUCACCACAAUUAAGCAAUGUUGAGCUUGGUCAGUACCUAGAUGGGUGACCUCUUGGGAAUACCAAGUGCUGUAA